GAUGAAGAACGUAGCGAAAUGCGAUAAGUAGUGUGAAUUGCAGAAUUCAGUGAAUCAUCGAAUCUUUGAACGCACAUUGCGCCCCCUGGUAUUCCGGGGGGCAUGCCUGUUCGAGCGUCAUUUCACCACUCAAGCCUCGCUUGGUAUUGGGCAACGCGGUCCGCCGCGUGCCUCAAAUCGACCGGCUGGGUCUUCUGUCCCCUAAGCGUUGUGGAAACUAUUCGCUAAAGGGUGUUCGGGAGGCUACGCCGUAAAACAACCCCAUUUCUAAGGUUGACCUCGGAUCAGGUAGGGAUACCCGCUGAACUUAAGCAUAUCAAUAAGAGGAGGA
rnacentral:misc_RNA from 1 species